CAUGCAAGUCGAACGGCAGCACGGGAGCAAUCCUGGUGGCGAGUGGCGAACGGGUGAGUAAUACAUCGGAACGUGCCCUGUAGUGGGGGAUAACUAGUCGAAAGAUUAGCUAAUACCGCAUACGACCUGAGGGUGAAAGCGGGGGACCGCAAGGCCUCGCGCUACAGGAGCGGCCGAUGUCUGAUUAGCUAGUUGGUGGGGUAAAAGCCUACCAAGGCGACGAUCAGUAGCUGGUCUGAGAGGACGAUCAGCCACACUGGGACUGAGACACGGCCCAGACUCCUACGGGAGGCAGCAGUGGGGAAUUUUGGACAAUGGGGGCAACCCUGAUCCAGCAAUGCCGCGUGUGUGAAGAAGGCCUUCGGGUUGUAAAGCACUUUUGUCCGGAAAGAAAUGGCCUGGGUUAAUACCUCGGGUCGAUGACGGUACCGGAAGAAUAAGCACCGGCUAACUACGUGCCAGCAGCCGCGGUAAUACGUAGGGUGCGAGCGUUAAUCGGAAUUACUGGGCGUAAAGCGUGCGCAGGCGGUUUUGUAAGACAGGCGUGAAAUCCCCGAGCUCAACUUGGGAAUGGCGCUUGUGACUGCAAGGCUAGAGUAUGUCAGAGGGGGGUAGAAUUCCACGUGUAGCAGUGAAAUGCGUAGAGAUGUGGAGGAAUACCGAUGGCGAAGGCAGCCCCCUGGGACGUCACUGACGCUCAUGCACGAAAGCGUGGGGAGCAAACAGGAUUAGAUACCCUGGUAGUCCACGCCCUAAACGAUGUCAACUAGUUGUUGGGGAUUCAUUUCUUCAGUAACGUAGCUAACGCGUGAAGUUGACCGCCUGGGGAGUACGGUCGCAAGAUUAAAACUCAAAGGAAUUGACGGGGACCCGCACAAGCGGUGG
rnacentral:rRNA from 1 species